GCUCGGCUCGGCUCGGCUCGGCUCGGCCGGCGCCGCUGGCCCCGCUGGCUGCGCGGGCCCGCCGAGGAAUCCCAGGAAUGAGGGAAUUCUGCGGCGAGCAGGUGGGGAGCGCCGCCCGUCCCCAUUGGCCGCCCACCCGUGACGUCAGCGCAAUUAGGGUAAUGAGGCGCUGACGUCACAUCCUCGCAGGAAAAACUACAGGGAAACAGCACUAAACUAAACCUCCAGGAAAACAACAAAAACCCCUCCCUCAAGAGCAAAGCGCUUUUUAAAAGCAGAAACGCGCGUUCCGAGGUAAAGCACGCUGUCACAGCGUGUGACAGAGCGGCUCGGUGUCCCCAGGCACACCGAAACACGCAGGAGUGACGAGUGUCAGAGCUGCCGUGAAUGGAUGGGGCUCACAUCCCAUCUGACGGGAACUGCUGGGAGCAGCUCCGGCACUUUCCUGUUUACUGCUCGCUCUGCAGCGGGGCUUUACCGAACCCUUCUCCCGACGUGACUCACCCAGCCUGGGAGGAGCUGCCGGCAGCCGGGUUUGGGUGAGAGCAGAGCGGAGCCCUCCUGGCCACCAAAGUGCUCCUCUCCCUUCCGCCUGCAGGGCGGGAGAUCCCCGGCACCGCUGCACAAGGCGGGAAUAUUCCCAUUCCCGUUCCCAUUCCCAUUCCCGUUCCCAUUCCCGUUCCCAUUCCCAUUCCCAUUCCCGUUCCCAUCCCGGCCCCGCACAGCGCAAUGCUGGGGAUGGAUCGCGCCCGUUCCCACCGUGCCAGCACAGCCCUGGGCAUUCCCAUGGCAGCGUCCAUGCCAGGGCUGCCACUUCCAGCAAUUCAGGAACAAGUCUUGCUAAAACUCUGCCUGGUUUUAGCGGUGUUACCAGAUCAAGCUGUCGGGCAUCUGGAGGAGCCCCUUCCCCAAAGCCAAGGCAAGGUUUCUCCAAGAACCUGGGGAUGCUGUUCCCAGGCUCACAAAAAAAGAGUUCCAGAGCAGGAGAGAAGCGCUGCAGUGAUCUCCUGGCGGCCACACUGAACAUCGGUCAGCAAACUGUCACAGACACGUUUUAUGAAAAAUCUUUUUGCUAAGAUUUCUUCUCUUGAGAAGCUGAGAGGCCUCGGAAACACAAUGUAAACAAUAAUGAUCGGCUGCCGUGGAAUGCUACAGAUCAGCCUUCUGAAACACGGAAUCAAGAUUCUCAUCUCUCCCCUCGUCCCGGGACCCCUGCGAACACCGCCACACCAGAGAGUCCCAGAACGGGGCAUUUUAUCCUCACCAGGAUCUGAGGCGGCCCCAGGCGCCUCUUGGAGUGCAUUGCAAAGGCAAAGAAAAGGACAGUAAAUCAACCUGAGCCCCUUGAAGAGGGGUGGAACCCCCAAAAGAGCGCAGGGCAGCAGAAACAGAGAGCGCUGCUGCGCAAUUCUGCUCAGGGCGUUUCUCCCGUCCAGCUCGUCCUCCCUCGCUGGGACAAUAAAUGCACGAGAACAGAAGAGGCAGCACGGCGGGGAACAGCAGCCCCGGGGCUCCUUUAGGUGCUGAGAGCGGGAUUUGUGCAGGAAAGGCUGCAGGAGCAGGGCUGCAGGGCCAGGGCUGCGGGAGGGGCGGGCAGGGAGCGGCCGGGGUCACCCCACACACCCUGAGCUCGGAUUCCUGCAGAGCUCCAGAGCCCGGGACGGCUCCGGGCUGUCCAGUUCCCAUCUAAGAGUCCAUCAAAAUCAUGCUGACACCGAAGUAUUUUCAUAUCCUCGCAAGGACAGGUCAUGAGAUCUCCGGGCCACCAAAAGCUAGCCAAAAGCACAUUCCAAACCUAAAUUAAAUCCAGAUUUAGACUCCACACACUCAGGAUGUCUAAUAGGAACACUUCAGUUGAUAAAACAAAUUAUAUGCAUGUAGUGUCAGAACAACCAUGAACAUAAUUUUAUACAUGUUGCAAAACCUUCAUCUGUGAUAUCUAUAACAAUAUAAUUAAAAAAUGAUAUUGUAUUAAUACACUA